GUAUUGAUUGCGGGUUAGCGCAUAAAUGAGGUCAUUCUACACUUUUUAAAAGGGGUGUUUGUGUGAAAACGCGAGCCUCCUCCGAGAUGAUCCCAAAGGGUGCCCACGCGGUGAUGCACAAAGGGUGAGAUGGAUUAUUAUGUGAGGAAACACACCCGGGCGUGCACGACAUUGAGUCAGCGACAGCCCUCGCACCUCGGUUGUACGAUAAUGAUCCUUCCGCAGGUUCACCUACGGAAA
rnacentral:misc_RNA from 1 species